rfam:Rattus norvegicus chromosome 18, whole genome shotgun sequence.
GGGGAUUUAGCUCAGUGGUAGAGCACUUACCUAACAAGCACAAGGUCCUGGGUUCGGUCCCCAGCUCCG